UCCGUAUGGUGCGAGCGUUACUCGGAAUUACUGGGCGUAAAGCGUGCGCAGGCGGUUUUGUAAGCCAGAUGUGAAAUCCCCGGGCUUAACCUGGGAAUGGCAUUUGGGACUGCAAGGCUGGAGUGUGGCAGAGGAGACUGGAAUUCCUGGUGUAGCAGUGAAAUGCGUAGAUAUCAGGAGGAAUACCGAUGGCGAAGGCAGGUCUCUGGGCUGACACUGACGCUCAUGCACGAAAGCGUGGGGAGCAAACAGG
rnacentral:rRNA from 1 species